rnacentral:lncRNA from 14 species
GUUUAAUUGUUCCUCUGCACCAGCCUCUUAUCUUUUCCUCGCAGGCACUGGAGCCAGUGAAGCCAGUGGCGUGCAGGCGGUUGCGACUCGCAAGAUCUAGCGUUUCCCCUCCUCUCCUCUAAACGCUGCAGUUAAAACGCUGGUGGUGUGAGGGUGAUUCUCCUCCAGCUGCUGCUGCUGUCAUUCUUCCCCACAAAGAAACAAAAAAAUGUGGGGAAAAACAUCUAAAGGAGAAGAAUGUCCCCUCAGGAUCAGCAUUUCUUCACUUCAACAGCUCCCACAACCAUCCCUUCUCUUCCCUCGGUGGAAGGCUUGUCAUGUGAACUGAGUGCUGCUGAAGAAUUGAAUGGUGAUCUGUUUUGCAUGCUUGUGGAUGAAAAGCAGAGCACGAGCCUGUUCUGGAGAUGA